rnacentral:rRNA from 1 species
GGCGUGCCUAAUACUGCAAGUAGAACGCUGACUACUUUAGCUUGCUAGAGUAGAAGGAGUUGCGAACGGGUGAGUAACGCGUAGGUAACCUGCCUACUAGCGGGGGAUAACUAUUGGAAACGAUAGCUAAUACCGCAUAACAGUGUUUAACACAUGUUAGAUGCUUGAAAGAUGCAAAUGCAUCACUAGUAGAUGGACCUGCGUUGUAUUAGCUAGUUGGUGGGGUAACGGCCUACCAAGGCGACGAUACAUAGCCGACCUGAGAGGGUGAUCGGCCACACUGGGACUGAGACACGGCCCAGACUCCUACGGGAGGCAGCAGUAGGGAAUCUUCGGCAAUGGGGGCAACCCUGACCGAGCAACGCCGCGUGAGUGAAGAAGGUUUUCGGAUCGUAAAGCUCUGUUGUAAGAGAAGAACGUGUGUGAGAGUGGAAAGUUCACACAGUGACGGUAACUUACCAGAAAGGGACGGCUAACUACGUGCCAGCAGCCGCGGUAAUACGUAGGUCCCGAGCGUUGUCCGGAUUUAUUGGGCGUAAAGCGAGCGCAGGCGGUUUAAUAAGUCUGAAGUUAAAGGCAGUGGCUUAACCAUUGUUCGCUUUGGAAACUGUUAAACUUGAGUGCAGAAGGGGAGAGUGGAAUUCCAUGUGUAGCGGUGAAAUGCGUAGAUAUAUGGAG